rnacentral:rRNA from 1 species
UUGAACGCUGGCGGCAGGCCUAACACAUGCAAGUCGAACGGUAACAGGAAGAAGCUUGCUUCUUUGCUGACGAGUGGCGGACGGGUGAGUAAUGUCUGGGAAACUGCCUGAUGGAGGGGGAUAACUACUGGAAACGGUAGCUAAUACCGCAUAACGUCGCAAGACCAAAGAGGGGGACCUUCGGGCCUCUUGCCAUCGGAUGUGCCCAGAUGGGAUUAGCUAGUAGGUGGGGUAACGGCUCACCUAGGCGACGAUCCCUAGCUGGUCUGAGAGGAUGACCAGCCACACUGGAACUGAGACACGGUCCAGACUCCUACGGGAGGCAGCAGUGGGGAAUAUUGCACAAUGGGCGCAAGCCUGAUGCAGCCAUGCCGCGUGUAUGAAGAAGGCCUUCGGGUUGUAAAGUACUUUCAGCGGGGAGGAAGGGAGUAAAGUUAAUACCUUUGCUCAUUGACGUUACCCGCAGAAGAAGCACCGGCUAACUCCGUGCCAGCAGCCGCGGUAAUACGGAGGGUGCAAGCGUUAAUCGGAAUUACUGGGCGUAAAGCGCACGCAGGCGGUUUGUUAAGUCAGAUGUGAAAUCCCCGGGCUCAACCUGGGAACUGCAUCUGAUACUGGCAAGCUUGAGUCUCGUAGAGGGGGGUAGAAUUCCAGGUGUAGCGGUGAAAUGCGUAGAGAUCUGGAGGAAUACCGGUGGCGAAGGCGGCCCCCUGGACGAAGACUGACGCUCAGGUGCGAAAGCGUGGGGAGCAAACAGGAUUAGAUACCCUGGUAGUCCACGCCGUAAACGAUGUCGACUUGGAGGUUGUGCCCUUGAGGCGUGGCUUCCGGAGCUAACGCGUUAAGUCGACCGCCUGGGGAGUACGGCCGCAAGGUUAAAACUCAAAUGAAUUGACGGGGGCCCGCACAAGCGGUGGAGCAUGUGGUUUAAUUCGAUGCAACGCGAAGAACCUUACCUGGUCUUGACAUCCACGGAAGUUUUCAGAGAUGAGAAUGUGCCUUCGGGAACCGUGAGACAGGUGCUGCAUGGCUGUCGUCAGCUCGUGUUGUGAAAUGUUGGGUUAAGUCCCGCAACGAGCGCAACCCUUAUCCUUUGUUGCCAGCGGUCCGGCCGGGAACUCAAAGGAGACUGCCAGUGAUAAACUGGAGGAAGGUGAGGAUGACGUCAAGUCAUCAUGGCCCUUACGACCAGGGCUACACACGUGCUACAAUGGCGCAUACAAAGAGAAGCGACCUCGCGAGAGCAAGCGGACCUCAUAAAGUGCGUCGUAGUCCGGAUUGGAGUCUGCAACUCGACUCCAUGAAGUCGGAAUCGCUAGUAAUCGUGGAUCAGAAUGCCACGGUGAAUACGUUCCCGGGCCUUGUACACACCGCCCGUCACACCAUGGGAGUGGGUUGCAAAAGAAGUAGGUAGCUUAACCUUCGGGAGGGCGCUUACCACUUUGUGAUUCAUGACUGGGGUG